GCCGCCACCGCCUCAGGGAAGAGGAAGGAGGCCGCGGCUUCGCGUCCCGCCUCUCGCCUGGCUGGCCGUGGGGGGCCUGGACGCAGUGGCCUCCCGAAUCUCCCAGGACCCUAAUAUCGCCCGAGGAUGCUGGGAGGAACGCUGAGCCGACCUCUCCGUUAGGCUGAAGAUUGCACAAACCAUGCUAAUGGCCAGCAUGGAUGGAGGGAGCGUGUGAGAUGUGUGGGGCAGCGUGCUGCAUCUCAGCCAACUCCAGGAGCCAGUUGAUGUGAUGGACUACCUUAAUUGAUUUUUGAAUGUUGAGCCAGCCUUAUGCAUGUGGGAUAAACCCCUGUUGAUCAUGGACAUUUUUAAAUUCUAGGUAUAGAGCAAUAAAAGAAGAAUUCAAGCAAAGGGAUCAGGAAGAGGAUUGCUACUAAGAGGCAGAGAAACCAAUGAAGCCUUUUGCCAUCUCACACUGGAAAGACAAAAAGUCAUAGAGGCUUGAUUUUUAUAAGGAAAGAGAAGUGAGAAACUGACCUCGAUACUUUGUUGGACUUGCCUAAAGACAUUUGCUGAAUUCUCGGGCUGUGCUGGGAUGGAGAUUAGAGGCCAAAUAAAAACCUCUGGAGCUCCCAGGCCUCUACAGUUUGCUGGGUCCCAUUACUUUCUGAGACAGGUGAGAUGGAAACAAGUCUCUUGGGAAGGCUCCCAAAAAGCCCAUUGUCAUAGAAAGCACCUGGCUUCUAAUGUAAGUGUGAGAAUUGGAGAGAAAUAUCUUGGUAAAAGAUAGAAAUAGGAGAGAAAAAGUAUGUCAAAUUCCAGGUCUAAAUAGGGGGAUCUCUAUUGACUUUAUUCUGUGUUUUUCUCUAACAUACCAAUAUGAUUAAAGUAAUAACUUGCUUAACAGCAA
rnacentral:lncRNA from 1 species